rnacentral:rRNA from 1 species
GACGUAGGGCGCGAGCGUUGUCCGGAUUUAUUGGGCGUAAAGAGCUCGUAGGCGGCUUGUCGCGUCGGCUGUGAAAACCCGCGGCUUAACUGUGGGCGUGCGGUCGAUACGGGCAUCACUGGAGUUCGGCAGGGGAGACUGGAAUUCCUGGUGUAGCGGUGAAAUGCGCAGAUAUCAGGAGGAACACCGGUGGCGAAGGCGGGUCUCUGGGCCGAUACUGACGCUGAGGAGCGAAAGCGUGGGGAGCGAACAGG